CCUGAAUAUUAAGGGGAUGCUGUCAUCUUUGCCAAUUUAUGUUGAGUAGUUCCCUACUGACUUCUUGGCUGGCCUAUAUUAUUUAUGCAGCACGAGGAAAAGAAUUGUCAGCCUUUCUUUCUCUCUUUUGGCUUAGCAGCUGGACCUGGCUAUAGGGAUCAACUCUAUUGCUUUGGUGCUGUUAGCUGGUUGCACUGACUUGCUAAACUACAGGCUUAUGUAAGUGCCUCCUACUCCAUCAUGCACUCCUCCAAAUCACAUAAACACCACAUUUAAUGUAAAGAAACCCUUGGGGCUACCCAUACUUGCUUGUACUUUGUAGGUGUUGAGGACUAACCCAAAAGCAGAAGUGAUGUCUGGGACCUGAAGUGUCAUUUCGUGCAUCAGAUGAGAGAAGAGAACCACUGGGCUGACCCAUCUACCAUUUUCCAGGUCCAGCUGGCAGAAGGAAGUUCUAUACCCCCUUGCUCCCCAAAAUACCACCUCUGGAGAGAAGGAACUUGAGGCAGGAGAACAACAGCCAUGGCCCCUGCAUCGCCUCCUCUGUCGUGUGGCUCCUUGCAUGGGGUUGGCUUUGUGCAUUUCUGCCUGGCAUCUUCACCAGACCAGGAAACAUUUCUUCUUGCUGGGGUGACAACAGAGCACUGGUAGAGCCACGUGAUGAUGGAUACCUGCCUGGCCACGCUGUGCUGAAGGACAAGCACGACACAGUUUCUCUUGUCCCGAUACCAUCUUUCUGGGUAAGUGGCAGCCCACAUUUGGUGGGAUAUCAGAAUGACUGAUUCUGCUGGGGACUUUCUGCACAAGGUCAUUGCAAGUCAUGGCUCCUUGACAGAGGAAACUAGAAAGAAGAGCUCACUUCUGAUUGGGCUAUAACAGGUGACGCUCCCUACCCACUGCCUUGCCAAAGGUCCUAGUAUGUGUAGUAUGUCCACAAAAGCUGUACCCCUUUGCUUUUCAUAGAAUCUUAACAAAAGCAAGAUUUACAUGGUUCAUCUCCAAUCCUACCUCAAACACAGCUGUAAUCCAGUCUGGGUCACAGGUAGCUGUCAGAAGCACAGAGAGUUGGGUAGUGGAGCCAAGGAAAUGUAGUUUCUCCUGUAAACCUGAAACAAUCCUGUACUGCUCAUGGCCUGUUUUUUUUCUUCCCAGUUAUUGUUAGAGUUGUCCCCAACAGCAGAACUGUACCUACCUUAGAAAUCCCACUCCGCUUUGCUACAUUUCCUCUUCUGCACUGCCUGUGAUAAUCCUGAAGAUGAUAGGCAUGUCUUCCCAGUCUGUAUAUCCAAUUCCUGCCUUUUGCUGCACCGCUUCCAGGCUGCUCCUUGGGCUGGUCCCAAAACUAAUCCUCAGGUCACCAAGGUCUCUCACAGCCUCCUGCAUGCCCAUCGUGGGCUUUGUGCUCUGCUUUACCCUUCUCCCUCCACCUCCAGCUCAUGCCGUCUUUGCUCAGAAACCAGUUGUGGGGCUGGGAACCGGCUCGCUGGUGAGCGCUGCUGUGCUUGCACGUUCCCCUGUUCAGAAGGUAUCACAAUGGACAGGGAUUUUGGUUCUAACCAGAGAUGCAGAGAUUAAGAUUUCCAUAGUAUAAGCACAUAGAAACAGGACAUUCAAGCAGUUUAUCUGUGUGAUAUGUACUCGUAUCAUACAGAUGCAUGUGCACACAUACAAAGCAAAACCCAUAUAAUGCUUCUGUGUAGUACCCAAAAACCUGGACUCAGUAGAGAUUUGCUGCAAAGUGAACCACGGAGUAGCCAUGUUGUGGCCUCAUAGCUGGAGAACCGCUUCUCUUUUUCAAUGGUUGGACUUGGUGACAGUAUAGAGAAUGAAAUGGACGUUACAGAUUAACAAAACACAGACACAGACUUUAUUUUGAACCAAAAGUUAAAAUUUUAUUUGGAAUAUCAAUAUACUCCAAAAAAAUAAAAAUAAAAACUUCCUUUUAUGUAGUGAAAUAGCCAUUUGAAAAUGGUAAAAUAAAGAUAUUUUUCAUACUAUUCUCUCCUAGUUAUUGUACACGUAUUUAAGGUUGUUUUUUUCUGAAUAUAAAUCUAGCUUGAACUUUAAGGCUCCAAAAAGCCUAAAGCAUGUAGUGGCUCUUUUGAGAAAGCAGAUAAGUCAAUCAGAGCUAUGUUUUUUCAGCAGACAGGCCUGCUUGAAGCUGUGCAGGACUGGACAGAAGUGAGACUUCUCAGGAAGGUCACUGUUUCAGGGGAGUAUUAUUUUAUACCCAUUGGGAAAUACAUUCUAACCCCACUUCAUGCAGAAUUUUAUUGAGCUUUACAAUGUACCAGGGAGAGCCCUGGUUCUCCUUAACUGUCAAGUUCUUGUGCAGAUCUGAUCUUAUUUGUGUUGGUGCAGUUGGUUUAAUUUAAGAAAUCAAAUCCUACCCUGUGGUGUUUGCUCUGCUAGAAAAUAAGUUUGUAACAAGGCACUGAUCCUGCCUUUCCCCCUGCAAGCAAAAGGUUUCUGUGCCCAUGUGCAGCUGCACUGACAGAAACAAGGCGCUUGUGACAGCAGGAUCAGGGACUUGUCCUUUAGUUUGCUUUUAAUAAAACAAAUGGAAUGGAAAAUGUACUGAAAUAAAACAGUAGAAACCCACUGACAAUUCUGAGUUGUAAUUCUUCCCUUUCAGAGGACUCAUUGACGCUAGGCUGGAAAAUAUGACUAAAGGUCCAUGUCAGGGCCUGAGUGAUGCCCCGAGUGGUUCAUGUCACCUCUAAGUGAACACAAGGGGAUUUAGGGCUCGCAUCACCCACUGCAAUGGGGCUGCAGUGGGCUGGAGCAAAGCUCACCCAAGCCACAGGACAUCUCACCAACAAUCUCACUUUAGAAGACAUUGGUCCAAGUCCUGAAUUUACCCAGUAUUGUCUGCAACUUGCUGUGAUUUCUUCCUUGAUCAAAGCCAUUUUUAUUACCUAAAGUAUGUUUGUAUUUAUGAUUUGUAUAUAAACAUGUUAUAUAUCUGUUACUGGUUCUGCAAUACAGGACAGACUACAACUACGAGAGAUAUUACUGGGCUAAGAUGUUAUAUCUGGCACUGCCUACAAAGGCUGCUGUUUCACAGGCACAGUAAUUGCUGCCUUCUGUUCUUUGUUGCCUGAAAACCACCUGAAUACUGAUCCCUGAGGUACCAUUGCUCUCAACUAAACCAGGUUUUUCUUUUCAGGAGAGAAAAACGAAAUACAUCCAGGCCUUGGAGUUCACAAGUUGUUACACCGUGGAUAUUCCCCCGAACAAAUCCCCAGACCCACGUUUGCACUCAAGGAGCCUUGUUGCACUGGCCACCCCAUCCUGGGCACCCAGCACCAGUCAGUCCCCCCAACUCCCGCUUUGCCUUGCCUCACCUUGGCAAGGAGGGAGCAUUCAGCCUGGAAAUACGUUCUCCUUCUCCCUCCUUGUCUCUCCUGCAAGUUACGCUCACUACUUUAUUCCUCCUCCCCAGCUUGGCUCUGUCGGGUGAUUCCUUUGGCAUGCUUUGGCCCUUAUCUGGUAAGUAAAAGCUUGUAUCCGUCUGCAGUGAGAUUCUGGUGAGAGGUCUCUUUUGAAGCCAACUGCUCUUAGUUGGGUGUUAUCAGUGAGCCCAGACAUAAAUCAUUCAUGACUCUGAGUUACACAAGGUCUGGAAGCAUGAGGGGUUUCCUUCUCAUCACAGGCACAAUCUAAAGAGUCUAAAGAAUUAUCCACAUUUUUUUCUUGCACUAACUAGUUGAAAAUAUUUUCCUCAGAGCAUUCAGUACACAACAGUAGUGUUCAGGAGGAACCAAAUUCUGCUCACAGCUGCCUAAGCACAAAUCUACACCAACCUUUCUGGUUUUAUUUCACUACAUUGAAUUAAUGUAUCAAAACAUAAAACACAGACUUUGACCCUAGCAGACUGACCUUAUCACCAGUGUAACUUUCCUGACUUUAAUAGCGAAUCCCAUAACAGCAUUUCCAGCAUCUGUGGUGGUUGUUACAGGUCCUAUAGUGCUCGGUAAAUUACAUGAAGUUUGAGUUCCAUAUGAUGUGUGAGAAUGCAACAAAAUUACAGCUUUAUUUAAAAUAAUUGGGGAAAGAAAGGGGGGUGGUAGUGGACAGAAAAAUUUGAAAGUGUGACCCCAAGGCUGAAUCCAAUUAGCUGUGUUUGUAUCUUGUGGCUCAUAGGUUGGAACAGCUGGAAUAUUCUUGAGGUGUCAUUAUGUUAGGGUUAACUGGCUCAGUGUUUAAAUACAUGUGAGUGGGUUAAAUGUGAUGUCUAUCAUGCAUGAGUUUUUUCACGGAAAAAAAAAGAACAGUGCAUAUGUUGGUUUUGGCCUUAUCCUCUAUUUCUUUAAUGCCAGUUACCACAUUUGACUCCUGUGGAAAACUUCAGAGGAAAAGUCCAGUGGUAGAGUAGGAGAGGGCUAUAGGACCUGUGUAAAUGCAUGUGUGAUGUGUCAUCUCCUGAAGCAAAUGGCAGCGUGACAGCCAAUUCCCAGGGUGACGGCAGAUGUACCCUAAUUUACCACUGUCCCUUGUGUGUCUGAUCUUGCUGCCCCUUACCCACAAAUACGCUUGCCUGCAGCCUAGUCAUCCGCCAGGAUGCCCGAUGAAUUGGAUGCUGGUUCCCCUGCACGCUCCGGGUAUCCCUGCACUGCUCAGGCGGGUUCCUGCCCUGGAGCCACCUCCGGGUGGUCAGGACGGUGUCCCUUGCUGGUGGGGCGGUGGGCACGGUGGGGACUGGUCACUGGGAAUGGGGAAGGGGCACCUAUGAGGGCUUUGGGAGGAUUGGGUCAGAGUGGGUGAAAUUCUUGCUCUGCUGAAGUCAGUGUUGGCAUUGCCAGCGUUGCCAUCCAGCAUGCACAGCUGUGGGUUUUUUUCUCUCCUGUAACUGAGCAAAACAGUGUAUGGAACACAGAAGGGUGUUUGCAACCCACCCUGUUUUCUGCCUGUGUUAUAACCUUGGCUGCGAGUUUUUGUCCUGCUGUGGCGUCACUUCUCAUCAAUAAAUUUUAUGAAGCUUUUUUAGCUAUAAGCCCCAAAUUAGCAGGAGAUGUGUGCAGCUCCUGCCCCUCUGCUCAGACAAAAGGCUGGCAUACUGAGUCUGUCCCACACACAGAAAAGCCUCCACUGACUUCACAGGGUCCAAGAUUUCUGCUCCAGCUUCAGCUCCAGACACCAGACCAUGUCCACCCCCUCCUGCUUUAUUUGAACAGGACUGAGGGUCUAAAUGGCACAACGGUGGCUUCUACCAAAGCUUUCAUCUAAUCACAGUCGACUCUAAUUUUGCCUUUUCCAUUCUUAACUGGUCUUCUGAACCUGCUUCUUAGCCAGGGCAAAAUUAUGCAUGAGGAAAAAGGCUUAUUCAGCAUUAUAAUUAUCUGUUCCCAAGCUGUAUAACAAAAUGGUUUACACAUUUAAUUGGUUUUGUCUAAUAUUUCCACGUAUACAGUAGUCCUAUUAAUGAGUAUCAUAGCUUCAUUACUGCAUAUCACAUUUUGCUAUUUGUUGUGUACCAUAAAAUGUCAGCACAUCAAUAACUUAAAUAACACAAAUGUAAACUCAUUUUCUGCUUGUUAUAAUUAUGAUUUUAGCCUGCAAAGGCUUUUUGAUUUGUAAGACCAUUCACAUAACAUGGAAUGUAACUUUAUUUGUUUUUCUUUUGUAUAUAAUGAGACACCAAAAGCCCUUGUCAUCUCUUAACAGGAUACUAAAGCAGCUCUGUUUCAUGAAUGACAGCACAAUUAAAGCUAAAAAUAAUCAUUAAAAAAAA